rnacentral:pre_miRNA from 1 species
UGGACACAUUCGAUUGUAUUCGACUGUAUUCACGGUGUGAAACAGGGGAUUACACUAUUUUUAAACAGAAAGUGAAUCAAUUAACAUAAUAGACUCAU